CCUUUAGAUGUUCUGGGCUGCACGCGCGCUACACUGAUGCACUCAACGAGUUUACGACCUUGCCCGAUAGGGUUGGGUAAUCUUUUUAAAAUGCAUCGUGAUGGGGAUAGAUUAUUGCAAUUAUUAAUCUUCAACGAGGAAUUCCUAGUAAGCGCGAGUCAUCAGCUCGUGCUGAUUACGUCCCUGCCCUUUGUACACACCGCCCGUCGCUCCUACCGAUUGAGUGCUCAGGUGAAUAAUUCGGACUGCAGCAAUGUUUGGAUCCCGAACGUUGCAGCGGAAAGUUUAGUGAACCUUAUCACUUAGAGGAAGGAGAAGUCGUAACA
rnacentral:rRNA from 1 species